ACCAUAUGAAUAAGGAUCGGCUAACUCCGUGCCAGCAGCCGCGGUAAAUACGGAGGAUCCGAGCGUUAUCCCGGAUUUAUUGGGUUUAAAGGGUGCGUAGGCGGACGUUUAAGUCAGCUGUGAAAGUUUGAGGCUCAACCCUAAAAUUGCAGUUGAUACUGGGCGUCUUGAGUAUAGUGGAGGUUAGCGGAAUUCGUGGUGUAGCGGUGAAAUGCUUAGAUAUCACGAAGAACUCCAAUUGCGAAGGCAGCUGACUAUCCUAUAACUGACGCUGAUGCACGAAAGUGUGGGUAUCAAACAGGAUUAGAUACCCUGGUAGUCCACACAGUAAACGAUGAAUACUCGUUGUAGGCGAUAUAGUGUCUGCGACCACGCGAAAGCAUUAAGUAUUCCACCUGGGGAGUACGCCGGCAACGGUGAAACUCAAAUGAAUUGACGG
rnacentral:rRNA from 1 species